GGAAGAACCAUAGCUCAGUGGUAGAGCAUCUGCUUUGCAUGCAGAAGGUCUCAGGUUCAAUCCCCAGUAUCUCCA